AGGGGUGCAGAUACCGGAUAUGGGAACACGCGGACCCAUCCCGAACCCGACCGUUAAGCAUAUCCGGGCCGAUGGUAGUAUGGCUUGUCCAUGCGAGAGUAGGUAGCGCCCCUC
rfam:Marinitoga piezophila KA3, complete genome.